rnacentral:rRNA from 1 species
GGCUGCAACUCGCCUACAUGAAGUCGGAAUUGCUAGUAAUCGCGGAUCAGCAUGCCGCGGUGAAUACGUUCCCGGGCCUUGUACACACCGCCCGUCACACCAUGGGAGUCGGUAACACCCGAAGCCUGUAGUCUAACCGCAAGGAGGACGCAGUCGAAGGUGGGAUUGAUGACUGGGGUGAAGUCGUAACAAGGUAAC